UGCAGCAGCCAAAAAGGGCACGCCAUGCUCUUUGGGGGAGCUACAAACCUUCAUGUUGCUCACUUGCGAAACGACAGAAAGGCUGGAUGACUCCACUCAUAUCUAGCAAGUGGACCAGCAGCUUUAUGGAAGUCCUGUGCGUCAUCCAGGGGGUACUAUUUUUGCAGUGGAAACUGUCCCCCCAAAAGAAUCAUCAGCAGAGGUGAGGAAUGCAGUCCCAUCAGUGAGCAAGAGGAGCAAGCCACUUUCUGGAGAUGAUGACCGGCUCACAGCUGUGAUGUCUGUCAAAGGUAAAGCUCCCAGGAAAAGAAAACCAUGGCAGGACGAAGAGGUAAAAGCCGUUGAAAAGCAUAUGAAGCGGUUCAUCACUUCAUGCAUCGUCCCUUCAAAGAGAGACUGUGAAAAGUGUCUAAGAGCUGAGCCAGCAGCUCUCAAUAAUCGGG
ensembl:lncRNA